rnacentral:tRNA from 1 species
AUUAAAAAAGUUUUUGGCUAA